AGAAACAAAGUGUCAAACUUCAAUACUGCUGGCUAUUGGGAAAGGUUUAACAGAGGAGUUCAAUAUUUGCUGAUUCCAAGUACAGCACACUGGACUAGUUGGAUCUUUCAUCUGACGUUUUAUGGUGCAAUGGAAAGAUGCUGAAUACUGAAGUCUCCCAGGCGGAGGAGGUUUCCAGUACUGCGCAACCUCUUCAGAAGUGGGGGCCCAACGGUGUGGGCUGUUCCUCUUUCUCCUGCUGAGGGAGUUCAUUCUCUUCCUGCAGGCUGCUCUUCAGUUCUUAAACAGGUCAAGUAUGACUCCGCAGACAGACAUGGUGCAAGGGCAGCUAAAAGGGCCAUAUCAAUUCCUGAUGUCAUCUGACUUAGCCCCAGUUUAGAGGUGAGAUCCUUGCUGACUGCCCAUAACCUUCAUGGGAAAGAAAAUGAAGAAGUCACACCUUAGGAGAG